rnacentral:rRNA from 1 species
AUUGAACGCUGGCGGCAGGCCUAACACAUGCAAGUCGAACGAGCGGCGGACGGGUGAGUAAUGUAUGGGGAACUGCCCGAUAGAGGGGGAUAACUACUGGAAACGGUAGCUAAUACCGCAUACUAUCGGAUGAACCCAGAUGGGAUUAGCUAGUUGGUGGGGUAAAGGCUCACCAAGGCGACGAUCUCUAGCUGGUCUGAGAGGAUGACCAGCCACACGGGGACUGAGACACGGACCAGACGCCUACGGGAGGCAGCAGUGGGGAAUAUUGCACAAUGGGCGCAAGCCUGAUGCAGCCAUGCCGCGUGUAUGAAGAAGGCCGUAGGGUUGUAAAGUACUUUCAGCGGGGAGGCGUUACCCGCAGAAGAAGCACCGGCUAACUCCGUGCCAGCAGCCGCGGUAAUAC